GAUGAACGCUGGCGGCGUGCCUAAUACAUGCAAGUCGAGCGAACAGACGAGGAGCUCGCUCCUCUGACGUUAGCGGCGGACGGGUGAGUAACACGUGGAUAACCUACCUAUAAGACUGGGAUAACUUCGGGAAACCGGAGCUAAUACCGGAUAAUAUAUUGAACCGCAUGGUUCAAUAGUGAAAGACGGUUUUGCUGUCACUUAUAGAUGGAUCCGCGCCGCAUUAGCUAGUUGGUAAGGUAACGGCUUACCAAGGCAACGAUGCGUAGCCGACCUGAGAGAGUGAUCGGCCACACUGGAACUGAGACACGGUCCAGACUCCUACGGGAGGCAGCAGUAGGGAAUCUUCCGCAAUAGGCGAAAGCUUGACGGAGCAACGCCGCGUGAGUGAUGGAGGUCUUCGGAUCGUAAAACUCUGUUAUUAGGGAAGAACAAAUGUGUAAGUAACUAUACACGUCUUGACGGUACCUGAUCAGAAAGCCACGGCUAACUACGUG
rnacentral:rRNA from 1 species